GAGUACGACGAGGACUCUCAGCGAUACUAUGUUUCUUUUCCGGAUGAUCAGUAGUGGUGCCUACUCGGGGUUCGAUUCAGGGAUUAGUCGCAUGUUGGGGGUCUUUUCUAUUUUGGCGCCGUAGUCGGGCCAUGAGUGUUUGUAUGAUGGAUGCUAUUUAUGUACCUUGAUGUGACGUGGCGAGUGUAAGCCAACUAUUAUAUUUAUUUCCCCCUUUAUAUUAUAUAUGUACAUGGGUUGUGUGAAGAUUGCCUCACUUGCGACAUAUGCCUUCAAUGCGAUUAUGCCUCUAAGUCGUGCCUCGACACGUGGGAGAUAUAGUCGCAUCGAGGGUGUUACAAGUUGGUAAUCAGAGCCUUCCCCGACCUUAGGAGCCCCAUUGCUUGAUCGUUUCUAGCAGCCGAGUUGUGUCUAGAAAAAUGUUUUGAGUCCUUAGGAAUUAUAUAUCGGAGAGCUUAGGAAUUCUUUUACUUCCCAGUCUCCUCAUCGCUCUGGUAAGGCAUCCUGACGUAGAGUUUUGACUCUUCUCUUCUCAAAUUUCACUAAAAAAAAUUUUUUAGGUUCACGCGAGUAUCUUAGUUUUGUUCCGAUGGCUUAUGAUGAGAAUACUGUCUUGGUGCCUCCUGUCAGGGGUUUAGUGGAAGUGUCCCGGGGAGUUGAGCUCUGAGGUGUUGUCAUCAUAAUUCUAUCGUUGCAAUUCUGGUAUACUUGAGAUAUGUGCGCGACAUCGAAAAUCUCCUUUAUGCAGUUCGUUGGUGAGAUAACCUCAACGCCACCCAGUACUGGGGCGGGAGUUCGGGAGUAUCGCCAUAACUUGUAUAACGGAUGCUUUUCGAAGGUUGAGAUAGAUGGUUUCCGAAGGUUUCUUGGUUAUGUGUUGAAGGAUGGAUGCAGCUGGAUGUAGGAUUUGCUAGCUUGGGUGAGAUAUUAUGCUUCCCCUGUAUCCUCAACACCUGAUUGCAUAACCGGAAAGUUUCGGGAAUUUCAUAGGUGGGAAUUCAAGUAGCCUUAGGAUAUCUUUCCAACAGAUGUGUGAUAUGAAAUUGGGGUUCGACGUCUAGUGGUUCGCCUAUUCACGGUCGAUUUUACAGUGGCCUCGUUGUGUCUUAAAGAGUCCUUGGCUAUGCUGACUCGGGGACGCUUCGUAUGUCAUGUGCACUGCCUUGUACAUGAUGGUGCUGUACGGUCGAGCCCGUGUAGGUCCUACCACGAACACUUCGGACGAAAUUUCUAUCACGUGUUUGUUCCGGCUUAUUCCGCGAGCCAACCCUUGGUUUUAUUUCGAGUUGUGUUAUUCAUUCUUCUUCGACGUCAUAUGUUGAUUCCAUCCCUCGUUGAUGUACCUCUUCUACAUGAUUCUUCGUGGCUUCGCAAUUUAGGAAUAUGUGACCACUUCAAGAGAAGUGCAUUCGUUCAUUUUGUUCGGAUGUGAAGACUUAUGUUGGAACUUUCAUUCCGUUGGAUUCACCUUCUAUAUUUCUAUAUUUGUGUGCUAAUGGUGGUCAACCUCUUCAGGAUGGCUCCCGCUAAGAGCACCAGUCAGAACCAGAAUCAAGAUCCUCCGCCACCUCCGCCUCCUCCGGAAGCAUGGCAGGCUGUGAUGGCUGCUACUAAUGCAAAUACUCAGCUGAUCAUGCAAAUCAUCCAAGAGCGGAAUCAAAGCAGUCAAGCGAAUCAAGGGAACAACCAGAACCAGUUUGCAACUCUGCAUCAGUUCCUCGCAAAUGGUCCAAAGACGUUCAGUAACUGCGUUGAGGCUACCGAUGCUGAUGAUUGGUUAGUCAAUCUGGGCAAGCAUUUUGAAUGUAGCAACGUCAGACCUGAAGAUUUCGUCAAGUUCGCGUCUUUCCAGCUCAAGGAUCAGGCCGCAGAGUGGUUUCAGCAGUACCGGGAUUCCAGAGGUGGACGUUUGAUCACUUGGGAUGAUUUCCGUCGUGAUUUUCGAGCUCAUCACAUUCCUCAAAGUGUGACUGAAAGCAAACGUGAAGAAUUCCGCAAUCUGAAGCAAGGCUCUUUGUCUGUCUAUGACUACAACAAGUUGUUCCAGAAGCUCGCCCGUUUUGCCAAGCAGGAUGUUCCUGAUGAGAAGAGCAUGAUCUAUCAGUUCAGGGGUGGUCUUCGUGAAGAAAUUCAGCUCUCUCUUGUCCUCUUCGAGCCGCUGAGAUACGAUGAGUUCUACAACAUGGCACUGAAGCAAGAGGCUGCUCAGCUCAGGUGUGAUGCUUCCAGGAAUCGAGUCAGAGACACUUCGUCUUCGUCCUCUACUCAAGUGACCAAGCAGCAGAAGUAUUGGCUUCCUCCUCCUCCGUUCCGUCAGCCGUAUCAGCAGAAGAGCAAAGGUGGCAGUGGUUCUUCCCACCCACCCAACCCAGGCUUUCAGAACAAGACUUCGUCUCAAGCUCCAAGAUCGAGUGCUCCGUACCACCGUCCGCUCUCAGAGGUCACGUGCAACAAGUGCCAACAGAAGGGUCACUACGCCAACAAGUGUUUCAACCAGAGGCGUCUUCCUCCUCCUCCUCCUGUCAGGUCGGCAAGUACAGCUGUGGUCAAGCAUAAUCCCAAGCACGCCAAGGUCAAUAUGGUGAAUGCAGCUCAAGCAGAGGAUUCGUCAGAUGUGAUCAUGGGUAACCUUCCCGUUAAUGAUAUUCCUGCAAGAGUUCUUUUUGAUUCAGGUGCAUCGCAUUGUUUCAUGUCUAAGCCAUUUUUUACCAAGCACGAGUUCGUUUCUUCGCAUUUGGGUAAACAAAUGGAUAUUGUUUCUCCUGGCAAACGAUUGAGUGCAAGUCUGGAGGUGCCAGAUGUCUCUAUCACGUUGGGCGAUUUCAAGUUCUUGGCUUCUCCAAUGGUUCUUGGCAAUUCUGAUAUCGACCUCAUUCUUGGGAUGGACUGGCUCUCUAAACAUAAAGCUCAGCUGGAUUGUGCAGCCAAGCAGAUUCAACUGACUCAUUCGUCUGAGGAAGUAAUUGUCUUUGCUGCUCGGGAUAAUACCAUCCGGUUGUUCUCUCUCAAUGAGAAGGGUGAAUUGGAUGCUAUUUCGCAGAUUCCGGUUGUUUGUGAGUAUCAAGAUGUCUUCCCUGAAGAACUCCCAUGCAUGCCUCCAAACCGGUCUGUUGAAUUCGUUAUUGAACUUGAGCCCGGUACGGAACCGGUGUGCAAACGGCCUUACAAGCUCGGCCCCGAAGAGUUGAAGGAGCUGAAGAAACAGCUCGAUGUGCAAGAAAGAAUGGGUCUCAUUCGGCCUAGUACUUCUCCGUGGGGUUGUGGUGUUCUUUUUGUGAAGAAGAAGGAUGGAACGGACCGACUUUGUGUUGAUUAUCGUCCAUUGAACAAGAAGACCAUCAAGAACAAAUAUCCACUUCCCAACAUUAAUGAGCUGUUCGAACAACUCAAGGGUGCCCAAGUAUUCUCCAAGCUUGAUCUCCGUAUGGGUUAUCAUCAAAUUCUCAUUCGUGAACAAGAUAUUCCAAAGACGGCGUUCAGAACAAGCUAUGGGUCAUAUGAAUACACAGUUAUGUAUUUUGGCCUCGCCAAUGCUCCUCCGACGUUCUCUCGCAUGAUGAACUUCAUCUUCAACCCCUAUACCAAUGACUUUGUCUUGGUCUAUCUCGAUGAUAUCCUGGUUUUCUCGAAGAACAAGGAAGAUCAUGCCAAACACUUGCGUUUGGUUCUUGACAAGCUAAGGGAACAUCAAUUCUAUGCCAAGUUCUCCAAGUGUGAGUUUUGGCUCGAUGAGGUUCUUUAUCUUGGUCAUAUUAUCUCUGCCAAGGGCAUUUCCGUGGAUCCUGAGAAGGUGUCUGCAAUCGUUAAUUGGGAACCUCCUCAGAAUGUGAAGCAACUCCGUAGCUUCCUCGGUCUUGCAAGUUAUUGCCGAAAAUUCGUUGAAAACUUCUCCAAGAUCGCGAAGCCUCUCUCAAAACUUCUUCAGAAGCACGUCAAAUACGUUUGGUCUCCGGAGUGUGAUGUUGCUUUCAACGCUUUGAAAGAGAAAUUGAUCACUGCUCCAGUUCUAACUCCGCCUGAUGAAACCAAGCCGUACGAGGUCUUUUGUGAUGCCUCUCUCCAAGGUCUAGGUGCUGUACUGAUGCAAGAGAAGAAAGUUGUUGCUUAUACCUCUCGCCAGUUGAAGCCAAAUGAGAAGAACUACCCCACUCAUGAUCUCGAGUUGGCGGCAGUUGUGCACGCAUUGUUGACUUGGAGACAUCUUCUCUUGGGAAGGAAAGUGGACAUUUUCACUGAUCACAAAAGUCUCAAGUACAUCUUCACUCAGCCUAAUCUCAACCUCAGGCAGACUCGAUGGGUCGAAAUGAUUCAAGAGUACAAUCCGAGUAUCGAGUAUACUCCAGGCAAGGCUAAUGUGAUUGCUGACGCUUUGAGCAGAAAAGCAUAUUGCAACAGUCUGAUUCUCAAGCCUUAUCAACCCGAGCUUUGUGAAGCUUUCCGCAAACUUAAUCUGCAAGUUGUUCCUCAAGGUUUCCUAGCCAACCUUCAAGUUUCUCCUACCUUGGAAGACCAGAUUCGCCAAGCCCAGCUUCUUGAUGCUAUGGUGAAAAAGGUGAAGAUUGGUAUUGCAAAGAGUCAGUCCAAGUACAAGUGCUACCGACUUGAUGACAAGGACACUCUCUUCUUCGAGGAUCGAAUUGUUGUGCCCAAAGGUGAACUUCGUAAAGUGAUCAUGAAUGAGGCUCACAACUCUCUCCUCUCCAUCCACCCUGGGAGCACGAAGAUGUAUCAAGACCUGAAGCAAACUUAUUGGUGGACUCGAAUGAAGCGCGAGAUCGCUCAAUUCGUGAAUGAAUGUGAUGUCUGCAGAAGAGUGAAAGCAGAACACCAAAGGCCAGCAGGUCUCCUCCAACCUCUCGCCAUUCCAGAAUGGAAGUUUGACCACAUUGAAAUGGACUUCGUGACUGGUUUUCCUAAGUCCAAGCGUGGCAAUGAUGCUAUAUUCGUUGUCAUCGACAAGCUGACCAAAGUGGCUCAUUUCUUGCCUAUCAAAGAGUCUAUCACUGCAGCUCAAUUGGCGGAACUCUACACCUCUCGCAUUGUCUCUCUGCACGGUAUUCCUCAAGUGAUAUCUUCAGACCGUGGCAGCAUCUUUACCUCCAAGUUCUGGGAUUCUUUUCAGAAGGCCAUGGGCACCAGCAUUCGCUUCAGCACUGCUUUCCAUCCUCAAACAAGCGGUCAAGUCGAGCGUGUCAACCACAUUCUUGAAGAUAUGCUCAGGGCUUGUGUUAUCUCCUUCGGCAUGAAGUGGGAGGAUUGCCUUCCUUAUGCUGAAUUCUCGUACAACAACAGUUUCCAAGCAAGUUCCGGCAAGGCCCCGUUUGAAAUUCUGUAUGGUAGGAAGUGUCGUACACCUCUCAACUGGUCCGAAACCGGUGAACGUCAGCUGCUGGGUAAUGACCUGAUCACAGAGGCAGAAGAAAUGUGCAAGGUCAUUCGUGAUAACCUCAAAGCAGCCCAGUCUCGUCAGAAGAGCUACUACGACAGCAAGCACCGUGAUUUGGCCUUCGAGAUCGGAGAUCAUGUCUACCUCCGCGUCUCUCCUAUGAAAGGGACUCGUCGCUUCGGUAUCAAAGGGAAGCUUGCCCCAAGAUACGUCGGGCCUUUCAAGAUCGUCAGCAAGAGAGGCGACCUCGCCUAUCAACUCGAGCUUCCUGCAACCUUUGCCAAUGUCCAUGAUGUGUUCCAUGUCUCGCAACUCCGAAAGUGCUUCAAGACGCCUGAGCGCACCGUCAACUUCGAGGACAUUGAGCUCCAAGAAGAUCUCUCCUACCGUGAGCACCCAGUUGCAAUCCUUGAAGAGACUGAACGCAAAACUCGCAACAAGUCAAUCAAGUUUCUCAAAGUAAAGUGGUCACACCAUUACGACCGUGAAGCUACCUGGGAACGCGAGGAUCACCUCCGUUCUGAGUACCCGGAGUUCUUUCAGUCCUAGAUCUCGGGACGAGAUCUUUUCGUAGUGGUGGAGUGUUGUAACGCCCCACAUGUAACCUUCCCCAAUUGUACUCCGACUCAUGCCAUUUCCGGCAUUAAGUUAUAUUUAAUUUUCGGGUUCGGGUCUUUGUCUCCGUGUGUUGUUUUGUUUUUCGUGCAUCUCAUAUCUUGUCAUCACGUGCAUUGCAUUUGCAUACAUGUUCGUCUCAUGCAUUCGAGCAUUUUCCCCGUUGUCCGUUUUGCAUUCCGGCGCAUCGUUCUCCUCCGGUGGCCAUUUCUAGCUUUCUUUCGUGUGUGGGGAUUAAACAUUUCCGGAUUGGACCGAGACUUGCCAUGCGGCCUUGGUUUACUACCGGUAGACCGCCUGUCAAGUUUCGGGUCAUUUGGACUUCGUUUGAUACUCCAACGGUUAACCGAGAGACCGAAAAGGCCUCGUGUGUGAGCAGCCCAACACCCCUCCAUUUUGGCCCAAAACCCACCAAACUCAGCUCCAUCGUCUCGGUCGUUCGAUCACGAUCGUGUGGGCGAAAACCGCACCUCAUUUGGACUCUCCUAGCUCCCUCUAUGCCUAUUUAAAGGCCCCCAUUUUUCGGAUCCCGUCUUCCUCCCCGUCCUCCUCGAAAAAAAAACCUCAGAUCUCCCCUCCACCGCGCCGACGGACGUGUCCGCCCCCGGCCGGACAACGUCCGCCGCCGCCGCAGGCCACUCAGCCGCCGCCACGUGGCCCGGGGGACCGCUUCGCCNNNNNNNNNNNNNNNNNNNNNNNNNNNNNNNNNNNNNNNNNNNNNNNNNNNNNNNNNNNNNNNNNNNNNNNNNNNNNNNNNNNNNNNNNNNNNNNNNNNNNNNNNNNNNNNNNNNNNNNNNNNNNNNNNNNNNNNNNNNNNNNNNNNNNNNNNNNNNNNNNNNNNNNNNNNNNNNNNNNNNNNNNNNNNNNNNNNNNNNNNNNNNNNNNNNNNNNNNNNNNNNNNNNNNNNNNNNNNNNNNNNNNNNNNNNNNNNNNNNNNNNNNNNNNNNNNNNNNNNNNNNNNNNNNNNNNNNNNNNNNNNNNNNNNNNNNNNNNNNNNNNNNNNNNNNNNNNNNNNNNNNNNNNNNNNNNNNNNNNNNNNNNNNNNNNNNNNNNNNNNNNNNNNNNNNNNNNNNNNNNNNNNNNNNNNNNNNNNNNNNNNNNNNNNNNNNNNNNNNNNNNNNCGGCCUCGUCCCCGGCCCCCCUCGCCGCCGACCCCGCCGGCCGCCGCCUCGGCAUCCGCGCCACCGGCCGUGAACAGUAACUCCGGCGACCUCGGUUUCCGUGCCCGAUCCAGAUCUGGAUGUGGGAUAUUUUCGGUUGACUUUCUCCUCCCGAAACCCUAAUUUUCUUGCUACUUUGACCGCUCAUAUCUCCUCAUCCGUAGCUCCGUUUUGGGUGUAUGAUAUGUCAAAAUCUUCGUCUCGACGAGUAAAUCAUUUCAUUCCAUUGCAUCAUUUGCAUUUGAGGUCAUCUUGUUGCCCAAAAUGCUGUUGGAAGGAGACAUGUUGAGUUAAAUUGCAGAUCCGUUAGUUCAACAUGCACUUUUGUCAUUUUUUCCAUAUUUAAUCCGUGCAUGAUAUGCCUGUGCCCCUUUGGGAUGAAUUGUUAAGCAUGUUGUCUUCUUUUCAGAGGUGCCUUCCAUGUAUUUUUAGGAUGUGUGUGUUGUCUUGUGCAAGCUUGCGAAGAGGGCUACCUGAGAUUACAGAUUUCAGGGACUUGGUGAUUUUCACAAAGUCUGAGCCGUUUUAGUUCACGAUGCUAUAUGUCCGGCUUGUUUCCUAGUGAUCCGUGCCUCUUUUGAGGAUGAUCAGUAAGAGUGAUUUGUUAUGCUUGUUGUGCUUAAUCCAUCCAUGUCUUUACUUGUUAUGUUGGAGCAACCUAGGUUGACACAAUCGAGCUCAACUUUUGGAAAGUUGCUGUUUUGGGCAGAUCGUAAACUCUUUUGCGAUUUUGCCGGAGUUAUUGCUAGUGAUCCAUGCAUGCUAUGCCAUUGUUCUUGCCAUGUCUAGCUAGAAUUUUGUGCCUUCUUAAUGGAUAUAUGCUUGCCUUGCCAUGACUUGCACCGUAGUGAGAGCAUCGAGCUCGUUUACACGCCUCCGUGAGUUAUUAUUUCAGCAUGUCCCAGUUUUCACUAAGUCUGAAAACUGAUUGUGUUUCAUCAAUGUUCGUGUGCUCGGUAGAGUAUUUUUGUGAACCCUUUUGGCCCCAGGUCAUUUUGGGUGUUUUGUUAAGCUUGUUGAGUAGCUCCAUGCCAUGCUCUUACUUGCCAUGUUCAGGUUUUCCUUCAUGUUGUUUUUCUGCUCCGAAGAGAGCAUCGUGGUCUGAAAUUUCAGACUAGCGUUAAUUUCGCUAAGUCUGAAAUCUGUUUUGCUUAAUCAGUUUUGCCAUGCUUGUUUGAAGCCCUUAAUGGAUGAAUUUGUCUAUGCCUCAAUCAUGAUGAUUUGUUAAGCUUGAUGAGUACAUCACUGCCAUGUAAUUUGUUUUCAUAUUGGGUGGCUGUAGCAUGGUCAUUUUGUUGCAUUUAGGAGCCUACUUGCUGUAAAUCGCAGAUCGGUUCGUUUAGUAAAACGCUUGCCAUUUCUAAACCGUAGCUCCGAUUGCCAUGAUCUUUAUAUCGUUUUCAGGGGAUUUCUUCCCCUCUAUCCAGUGGCACACUUGGAUUUCCAAGUUGAGGCCAGGUUCAUGCAUUUCCUGUUACAUGUUGCAUUUUGCAUCCCGCAUCGCAUCCCGCAUAGCAUAUCAUCUUUGCAUCUUAUUGGUUGCCUUUGCACGGGGUUGAUUGUAUCCUUGUUGCUUGUUUGUGUUGUUGGGUAGAGCCAGGAGACGAGUUCGCUAACGAGGAGCCCGUUGAGUUUGCUUUUGAGGAUCCAGUCAAUUCUGACAACUGUGCAGGCAAGAUGAUCACAUCCUUGAAAUCACUUCUAUCUUUGCUAUGCUGGUACGCUCGCUCUUUUGCUUUGCCAAUGCUAGGAUGCCUACCACUUGCUUGUCAGCCUCCCAAUUGCCAUGAUUGAGCCUCUAACCCACCUUUGUCCUAGCAAACCAUUGAUUGGCUAUGUUACCGCUUUGCUCAGCCCUUCUUAUAGCGUUGUUAGUUGCAGGUGAAGAUUGGAGCCGUUCCUUGUUGGAACAUUUAUUUACGUGUUGGGAUAUCAUUAUAUUGCUAUGUUAUCUUUACUCAUCUAUAUACUUGGUUAAGGGUGGAAGGCUCGGCCUCUCGCCUAGUGUUUUGUUCCACUCUUGCCGCCCUAGUUUCCGUCAUAUCGGUGUUAUGUUCCCGGUUUGUUGCGUCCCUUACGCGGUUGGGCUAUAAUGGGAACCCCUUGAUAGUUCGCCUUGAUGAAAGCUUUUCCAGCAAUGCCCAACAUUGGUUUUACCAUUUGCCACCUACCUUUUUCUUUCCCUUGGGUUUCCGGAGCCCGAGGGUCAUCUUUAUUUUAGCCCCCACGGGCCAGUGCUCCUCUGAGUGUUGGUCCGAACCAGGCAGCCUGCGGGGCCACCUCGGGGAAACUCGAGGGUUGGUUUUACUCGUAGCUUGACCUAUCCGAGCGUGCCCUGAGAAAGAGAUAUGUGCAGCUCCUAUCGGGAUUUGUCGGCACAUUAGGGCGGUGUUGCUGGACUAGUUUUGACCUGUCGAAUCAUCUUGUUGUACCGGGAUACCAAGUCUGAUCGGUGGGUCCUGGGUGGAGGUCUAUUCCUUCGUUGACCGUGAGAGCUUGUUAUGGGCUAAGUUGGGACCCCCCUGCAGGGAUUGAUCUUUCGAAAGCCGUGCCCGCGGUUAUGGGCAUAUGGGAAUUUGUUAAUGUCCGGUUGUAGACAACUUGAACUUAAUUAAUUAAAAUGAAUCAACUGCGUGUGUUGCCGUGAUGGCCUCUUCUCGGCGGAGUCCGGGAAGUGGACACGGCGUUGGAGUUAUGCUUGCGUAGUCUACUCUAUUUAGUUUCCGCUCGUGCUUUGCCUUCUCUUCUCGCUCUCCUUUGCGAAUAAGCUAGCCACCAUAUAUGCUAGUCGCUUGCUGCAGCCCCACUACAUUACCCCUUCCUUACCUAUUAAGCUUAAAUAGUCUUGAUCGCGAGGGUGCGAGAUUGCUGAGUCCUUGUGGCUCACAGAUUACUAUAUCACCAGAUGCAGGGACCGAUGAUACUCCUCCGGAUGGCGCGCUCGAGCUGAAGUGGGAGUACGACGAGGACUCUCAGCGAUACUAUGUUUCUUUUCCGGAUGAUCAGUAGUGGUGCCUACUCGGGGUUCGAUUCAGGGAUUAGUCGCAUGUUGGGGGUCUUUUCUAUUUUGGCGCCGUAGUCGGGCCAUGAGUGUUUGUAUGAUGGAUGCUAUUUAUGUACCUUGAUGUGACGUGGCGACUGUAAGCCAACUAUUAUAUUUAUUUCCCCCUUUAUAUUAUAUAUGUACAUGGGUUGUGUGAAGAUUGCCUCACUUGCGACAUAUGCCUUCAAUGCGAUUAUGCCUCUAAGUCGUGCCUCGACACGUGGGAGAUAUAGUCGCAUCGAGGGUGUU
rnacentral:lncRNA from 1 species